AAGGUUUGACAUGGAGGGCAAAGUUGAAGAAAUUCAACGGAGGUUAUCCCGACACAGGUGGUGCAUGGUCGUCGUCAGUUCGUGCUGUGAAGCAUAUGCUUAAGUGCUAUAACGAACGCAACCCUCGUAUUUAGUUACUAUCAUUCAGUUGAGAACUCUAAAUAGACUGCUAAGGUAACUUAGAGGAAGGAGAGGAUGACGUCUGAUCAUCAUGCCCCUUAUAUCUUGGG
rnacentral:rRNA from 1 species